GGCGGUUGUAGGUCUCGAAGAAGUGGUCGUCGUCAUCGUCGUCGCCGAGGCCAUCCCAAUUCAUGGUCAUCGUUUUCCGGCGCUCCAUGGUGGCCAUCGGCGAGACGUGAGCAGAGAGGAAUGAGAGAAAUGGAAUGUUUGGGAGUGGAGGAAAGUGGAAGGGAGGAAAUCAAGGGAAUACGGAGAGGUCCUUACCGUUAUGGAUUUUGGAGGCAAAGAAAUGGUCAACGUAUUUCCAUUUGUGUAACCGUGCACAUGCUUUGCUUCUUUUGUUGAGAAUGUGUUGCGUGUUGCUAUUUUUUUUUGCUUCUUCUGAUUUAUGCUGUGUAGGCAUGUUUUGCUUUCCUUGUGAACGUGCUUUCAUCGUAAAACUGGUUGCCACGUUUGUGAGUUUUAUGCUUGGAAAGUGGUUGGUCAAUUAUUAUUAUUUUUUCUGUUAA